GACGAACGCUGGCGGCGUGCUUAACACAUGCAAGUCGAACGGAAAGGCCCUGCUUGCAGGGUACUCGAGUGGCGAACGGGUGAGUAACACGUGGGUGAUCUGCCCUGCACUUCGGGAUAAGCCUGGGAAACUGGGUCUAAUACCGGAUAGGAGCCAUUUUUAGUGUGAUGGUUGGAAAGUUUUUUCGGUGUAGGAUGAGCUCGCGGCCUAUCAGCUUGUUGGUGGGGUAAUGGCCUACCAAGGCGGCGACGGGUAGCCGGCCUGAGAGGGUGGACGGCCACAUUGGGACUGGGAUACGGCCCAGACUCCUACGGGAGGCAGCAGUGGGGAAGAUUGCACAAUGGGCGCAAGCCUGAUGCAGCGACGCCGCGUGGGGGAUGACGGCCUUCGGGUUGUAAACUCCUUUCGCUGGGGACGAAGCUUUUUGUGACGGUACCUAGAUAAGAAGCACCGGCUAACUACGUG
rnacentral:rRNA from 1 species